ensembl:lncRNA novel transcript
CUCCUCCAUCAGCUAAGGGGGGAUGGGCUGAGCCUGAACAGAGGGAGAGGGGAGUAAAUAAGGGGCUGUUGCCAGAGCCUGAGCCCACCAGAGAAAGUCUGUGUGCAGAGGGAGGGCCUCAGGUCCUGCUGCUCCUUCAUCUUGACCCCUUCACACCCUCCUCUAACAGGGACCUCGACCUCCCUUCUCCACUCUCCUGGAUCCUGCUCAGUGUGGUGCAGGCCUUCUCUGGGGCCCUGGAGUUCCCACUGACCUUCAGCCCCGCCAGUUGCAUCUGCUGUUCCCACUGAAGGUUAGUGGACAGGGUGGAGGUGGCUAAAGGUGGAAAAGAUACUUUGUGAGAGGGGGACCCCAACACGAGGACAGGGCACUGACGGAGCCUUUACCAAAAUGCUGGGAAAGGUCUCCCCACCAUCCACAUAUUCUCUCCCAGGCCUCAAAGGGCCCUCCCCAGUCUCCAGCUGUCAGCUUUCCCACCUCCACCUUCUCUCCUCCUUUCGGUUCUGCUUCUGAAUUUCUUCAAAAAUUCUCCUGCAUCAAGACUCUCAUGCUAGUCAGUUCCUGCCUGGGGUCACCAGACUGCUUCGAAGUCAGGAAGAACAUGGUGGGGACGGUGACUUGAGUUUCCUGGACCACAGUGCAGGUCCUGUUCUCUACGAGUGAAUAUCCUAAUGACCAUAAUAAAGCCAGUUCCCUUUUUGGGGACUGACAUUUGUUGAGAACUCCCCCUAUGAAUGCUGUCUUGCUGCAAAACUUCACCUCUGGAUAAAGUGGCUGUGCUCCUUCUGGAUGUCUGCAUCAGGGCUGCUGAGGCACAGCUGAGAAUGCACCACACAGCUGACUACGCUGCUGAGCAAAUCUCAUUACUAAAUGCACAUCCCUUUCAAGGAUGCCAGGCGUUAGGGCUGCAUUGCAACUUUGAUGGACACUGGGGAUUAAUGCCUGUGUGUCCUUGUUCCAUUAAAAAGUUUGAAGUUU